GUCCUUGUCGAUUAGUGGUUAAAUCAACACGUUGUGGACUACACAAUUCCGUGUAGCCGCAGGUUCGAUUCCUGCCAAGGACA
rnacentral:tRNA from 1 species